UGGUGGGGUAAAAGCUCACCAAGGCGACGAUCAGUAGCUGGUCUGAGAGGACGACCAGCCACACUGGAACUGAGACACGGUCCAGACUCCUACGGGAGGCAGCAGUGGGGAAUUUUGGACAAUGGGCGCAAGCCUGAUCCAGCAAUGCCGCGUGAGUGAAGAAGGCCUUCGGGUUGUAAAGCUCUUUUGUCAGGGAAGAAACGGGUGAGGUUAAUACCUUUGCCUAAUGACGGUACCUGAAGAAUAAGCACCGGCUAACUACGUGCCAGCAGCCGCGGUAAUACGUAGGGUGCAAGCGUUAAUCGGAAUUACUGGGCGUAAAGCGUGCGCAGGCGGUUAUACAAGACAGAUGUGAAAUCCCCGGGCUCAACCUGGGAAUUGCAUUUGUGACUGUAUGGCUAGAGUGUGUCAGAGGGGGGUAGAAUUCCACGUGUAGCAGUGAAAUGCGUAGAUAUGU
rnacentral:rRNA from 1 species